rfam:Triticum urartu cultivar G1812 contig954216, whole genome shotgun sequence.
CAAGUACUCCCUCCGUCCCAAAAUAAGUGACUCAACUUUGUACUAGCUUUAGUACAAAGUUAGUACAAAGUUAGUACAAAGUUGAGUCACUUAUUUUUGGACGGAGGGAGUAUAAU